AAAGGUGGUAAACCGCACCCAAACAGUGCAAAUAAUAAUAAAAUAUAUACAUACAGAGAAUCCUCUAAUUAGGAAUGUAUAAAACCUUCAAGGCAAAAAGGUACAGGACAAUAAUAGUGCAAUAUGUCAGGUGAAAUAAGAGUAUAUAAAAGCUUAUAAAAGACCCACUCACACUUUGCAGAGCUACUCAGAGCUCUGCCGUAUAGCGCCUUGACGGUAUAAUCCCCGUCUCAGGAUAUCAAGUGAUGGUAUAAUGUGGUAUCCAAUCCUCCACAGUGGUAUAUGGAAAAAUAAAAAUAGAAGUAAAAUCCAAUAGUUUAGUAUAUCUAUUAAAAAGUGUUCAAAUAAAAGAAAAGUAUCCUACUUACAAAUUUCAGAGCAAAUAUCUUGCUCUGGUAUAAACAGCAUGAGGUGGUAUGAUCCCCACCAGAGGAUAUAAGUCAGGAUGCAAGGUGUAUCAGGAACAACAAAUAAAGUAGUAAAAGCUAUAACUUUAUUGAUACAAAAUAAAAAAUAUAUAAUAAAAGAAGUAUCAGAGCUCUUACUUAACGCGUUUCGCUCGGUCUGGGGCUUCUUCAGAAGUAAUAAGUCCAAAAUUCAAUGGAGUCCUCUUUAUAUAAGUGUCCCUGAUUAAUGUGAUUUAGUCCUGAUGCAAUUUCACUUCCUACUUCCAGGUCGCGUGUGCCGCCCGGAAGUGACGUCUGCGCGUCUUCUCGUAGCCUGCUGGGAUAUGUAGUAUCCCUCCAUUCAUGUUGUGUGCGGCUCCCGGAAGUGACGUCAGCGUAUCUCCCAAUGGUUGAUGGGGCAUGUAGUUUACAUUGUCCAUUUUUCUAUAAACACAGUUUCGUCACCCAGAAGUGACGUAUCACGAUCUGGUAUUGUUCAUGGGAAUUGCAGUUCGGCAAAUUGCCGAUAUAGGAUACAGUACAUCUAAGAAUAAAAUAAGUAAAUUAUUAUAUAAUUAACAAGGUGGUAAAGUUUAAAGAAAGAAUGUAAAUAUAAAAACAUAUAAUAAAAAACAAAUAAGACAUAUUUUUAAUUAAAAAAGAUAGCAUAUUUUAAGUAGUAACAUUUUUUUAAAAAGACAUCAUAGAGCUAUACACACAAGAUAUAUAGGUUUAUACCAGGUAUUGCAUACCAGAAAAUAAGCAUGCAUAAAAAUCUAUAAAAAGUAACCAAUAUUAUAAAAAUGCUAUGCACAAAGUGAACCAUGCACAUAUAUGGAGAUCUUAAAGUGAUACACAGGGGAGGUGGUGUGUCAGCAAUAAAAAUAGUAUAUAAAUAUGCAAAGUAUAUAAAAACUGGUGUAAAAGAUUUUUUCUUUUAGUAUUUAUUAUAAAAAAAUUCAAAGAUCAAACUCUGCAUUAAGACCUUUAGGGUGUAGUGUGUCUAAAAAAUAGACCCACUCCAUUUCUUUCUUGCCCAAUUUAUUAAUCAUAUCACCACCUCUCCAGUGUUGGGACAAUUUUGAAAUGCCCAUAAAUUUUAAGUGCCGUGGAUCAUUACCAUGUAACUCAAAGUGUGAGGAUACCAAGUGGGUUUUUAGUCCUUUUUCUAUAUUUCUACAAUGUUCCCCAAUCCUGACCUUCAACGGUCUUAUAGUUCUCCCUAUAUAUUGCAGUCCGCAUGGACAUUCUAAUAAAUAUAUCACGUUUUUACUCAUGCAUGUAAUUGUGUUUUUAAUACUGUAACUUUUAUCUGUGUUAUUUGAUUUAAAAUUAUGAAUGUAUCGGUUUAUUUUUUUUUGUUUUUUUGCAUGCUACGCAGCAAUUGCAUCUAAAAAAUCCAUUCUUGUUUUUCAUAAAAUUAUUUAUAACUUUGCACUUUUUUUGUUUUGUAUAAUUUUGUGUGAGUUGCAUUCUCAAAUUUGGAGCUCCUCUAAAGACAAUUUUUGGCUGGUCUGGAAUAAUUUUUCCUAAUACAGGAUCUUCUUUCAAUAAAUGCCAGUUAUUCCUAAUUACUUUUUUUAUUUGUUUAUUUUUAUUAUUAUAAUCUAAGACAAUAGGCAAUACAAAGUCUUUCCCAUUAUUCUUAGUAUUUUUUUAACCCUUGUUUUGGGUUAAAAGAUCCUUUCU